CCUACGGGUGGCAGCAGUGAGGAAUAUUGGUCAAUGGACGCAAGUCUGAACCAGCCAUGCCGCGUGCAGGAAGACGGCUCUAUGAGUUGUAAACUGCUUUUGUACGAGGGUAAACGCAGAUACGUGUAUCUGUCUGAAAGUAUCGUACGAAUAAGGAUCGGCUAACUCCGUGCCAGCAGCCGCGGUCAUACGGAGGAUUCAAGCGUUAUCCGGAUUUAUUGGGUUUAAAGGGUGCGUAGGCGGUCGGAUAAGUUAGAGGUGAAAUCCCGAGGCUCAACUUCGGAAUUGCCUCUGAUACUGUUCGGCUAGAGAGUAGUUGCGGUAGGCGGAAUGUAUGGUGUAGCUGUGAAAUGCUUAGAGAUCAUACAGAACACCGAUUGCGAAGGCAGCUUACCAAGCUACUUCUGACGUUGAGGCACGAAAGCGUGGGGAGCAAACAGGAUUAGAUACCCGGGUAGUC
rnacentral:rRNA from 1 species